rnacentral:rRNA from 1 species
AUAAUAAAUAAAUCUUAUUAAAUUUUAUUAAAUAAAACACUUAAAUAUUAAUCUCUCUAUCAAUCAACCAAAUAAAAGUACUGAAAAGGAAAUAAUUUAAUAAACUAAAGUAGUGUAUAAACACGUACCUUGUGCAUUAUGGUUUUACAAGCUAACAAUUAAAAAUAAUCGCCCGAAUUCUACGCGAGCUGCUCCCAUAUAGCUAAGAGCCCACUACUAGUUGUGGCAACAACUUUAGGAAAUAUGGUAGCAGAGGCUACAUACCACCCGCGCUAGAAAAUUGCUGGUUUUCAGCAAAAUUUAUUAAUUAAAACAUGUAAUACCCUUACAGUGUAAGAUCCUAGAGGAUAAGCCCUAUGAUCAUAAGCCAAACAUUAUUAAUACAAAAUAAAUAGGCCUAAAAUCAGCCACCCACAGUACGUUAUAGUACUAGAUAUAUAAUAACUAAUCAACCUGCACCAAAAAGCUGAAAUUUGGGAAUAACCAUUAACCCCAAAAUACUAUGUAAAGAUAAGUAUUAGAAAAAUACACAACUAUGUAUUAGUUACUUUUUCCCACUAAAACAAUUAAAAACUUGCAAAGGAACUCGGCAAACUAUUAUUU